CGAUGAUCUCCCGCUUGCGGGGGUGAUUAGUGGCGAACGGGUGAGUAAUACGUGAGUAACCUGCCCUUGACUCUGGGAUAAGCCUGGGAAACCGGGUCUAAUACUGGAUACGACCCCCUGUCGCAUGGUGGGGGGUGGAAAGGGUUUGACUGGUUUUGGAUGGGCUCACGGCCUAUCAGCUUGUUGGUGGGGUAAUGGCUCACCAAGGCGACGACGGGUAGCCGGCCUGAGAGGGUGACCGGCCACACUGGGACUGAGACACGGCCCAGACUCCUACGGGAGGCAGCAGUGGGGAAUAUUGCACAAUGGGCGGAAGCCUGAUGCAGCGACGCCGCGUGAGGGAUGACGGCCUUCGGGUUGUAAACCUCUUUCAGCAGGGAAGAAGCCACAAGUGACGGUACCUGCAGAAGAAGCGCCGGCUAACUACGUGCCAGCAGCCGCGGUAAUACGUAGGGCGCAAGCGUUGUCCGGAAUUAUUGGGCGUAAAGAGCUCGUAGGCGGUUUGUCGCGUCUGCUGUGAAAGCCCGGGGCUCAACCCCGGGUCUGCAGUGGGUACGGGCAGACUAGAGUGCAGUAGGGGAGACUGGAAUUCCUGGUGUAGCGGUGAAAUGCGCAGAUAUCAGGAGGAACACCGAUGGCGAAGGCAGGUCUCUGGGCUGUUACUGACGCUGAGGAGCGAAAGCAUGGGGAGCGAACAGGAUUAGAUACCCUGGUAGUCCAUGCCGUAAACGUUGGGCACUAGGUGUGGGGGACAUUCCACGUUCUCCGCGCCGUAGCUAACGCAUUAAGUGCCCCGCCUGGGGAGUAC
rnacentral:rRNA from 1 species